rnacentral:rRNA from 1 species
UACGUAGGGCGCAAGCGUUGUCCGGAAUUAUUGGGCGUAAAGAGCUCGUAGGCGGCCUGUUGCGUCCGCUGUGAAAUCCCGGGGCUCAACCCCGGGCGUGCAGUGGAUACUGGCGGGCUCGAGGCAGGUAGGGGGAAGCGGAAUUCCCGGUGUAGUGGUGGAAUGCGUAGAUAUCGGGAGGAACACCAGUGGCGAAGGCGGCUUCCUGGACCUGUUCUGACGCUGAGGAGCGAAAGCGUGGGGAGCGAUCCGG